CAGAUCUGCAUUUAAUUGUCUCUGGGCUUAGAAAAUAUGAAGCUUCUGGUUUAAAAAUUAAGAAUGAUUUAAGACAGCAACAGUAGAGCAUUAAACCAAGAUGAGGUUCUUCCGAGCAUAAGACCCUGGGCAACUGUACAAAUCGCACACUGGUGAAUCCAGCCCUUCUCUGGAUUAUACCCCUUAUCACUUUCACCUUUACAUUUACAUAAUGUAUAAAUUCAGUUUAACAAAUCUGCAGCCACUUUGAGUCAUAACCAACCUGAUCAACCCCUGAGUUGCCCUGAUCAGUUUUCCCUGCAUAGUUUCCCAGCACACUAUAAAUAGUAGUAUGUGGAAACUUACAACUGGACCCAGGCACCAGGAAUGUGCCUGACUCUUUGACAUUAACUUGAGAUAAACUAGGUAUAUUCUAACUUGGAUGACAUCACUUUUGUCCUGAACACUUUAUAAACUCCUUUCUGACCAAAUUGUGGGGAUCCACUUGGUCUUGCUACUGCCCAUGACCAUGCUUCCAUCAGUAAUUUCUCCAAUAACCUGCCCUGGGUGCAAUCCUGGGUCUGUUUGCUUGGGUCUCACAGCACUGUGGAGCUGGUUCUUAUACCCUAGGACCAGGUCGUUCCAGAACACAUAAGUAUUUCUUCCAGUAUAAAUUGCCCUUAAAAGAAAAUUGAGAAAAUGCAGAAAUGAAGAAGAUCAAACAAAUAGCAUAGUUAGCCAUUCUCAAAAACAAAACAGUGGUUUUUAUUUCUAGCUUCAUUUUUUUUUUUUGCUUUAUACAUAUACAGUCCUUUAUUUUCAUUGUUGUAAUCAUAUCACAUAAAAUUUCAUGACACCUAAACAAUAAGACAGUAUCAAAGGAAAAUUCAAUAAUUCAAGUAAUUUGAGCUGGUCUUUUGUUCUGGUGGUUUUCUGUAUCUGUUGCUUUUUUUUUUUUUCUUUGCUUGUUUUUGAGACAGGGUUUUGUGAUGUUGCCCAGGCUAGCCUUGAAUUUGCGAUCCUCCUGCCUCAGCCUCUCCAGUAGCUGGGAUUACUGGCACAUGCCACUGCACCCAGAUUUCCUCCUUUAUACAUUUAGUUUUUGUUUUCUAUUUUUUCCUACCCAUGUAUAGUUAACACCUCAGUUUAUUCCAAGUGAAGGCCAAUAAAGUGUUUCCCAUACAAUGAAAAACUUGGUUCACCAUGAAGUUUCU
rnacentral:lncRNA from 1 species